AAAACAUUUUUUGUUUUUUUUUUCUUUUGCUUAAAUAAUGAAAAUGUGAAAUGAAACAAGAGGGGUUGUGGAGGAAAGGAACCAAAGAAUUGAAUGACGGCGCGUAUAGCUCACUUGCAUUCUGGCGCUUGAAUGGUCGCGUGGGGAGGCGAGCAAGGAGGCGGCUCAGGGAGCUAUCGUUGAAGCUCCUCCACGUAAAUAUCGAUUCCAAAUAAAAGAUGACGUCUUUUCUGACAUCACAGUAUAUCAUACGAGAUGACGUCAUGCGACCAGUCAUUGAACGGAACUUUGACAAUUGUUGGUAAAAAGCACCGCGUACGUGAUUGAAGCAAAAAUCAUUUUUGUACAGAUUCGUUUGCUCUUUAGUAAUCAAACAGAUUCGAGAACACGAGACGAGACACCAUUAGUUUUCCCCAGAGCGCUACCUCCUCUAUAUCAUAAUACAAAUUAUUUUAGUUAAAACACACAAAAAUUAAAAAUGUUAUUACUCUUAUUGGUUCGGUAAAAAAUAUAAAAUUGUAUAAAAUGAAAAUAACUUAUAAUUUAAAACAAAUAAUUCUAUUAAAGCAAAUUGUAUUAUAAAACAUAAAGA